GCCAGUGAGGUGUAGUGGUUUGAAUGUUAGACUAUGACUCUGCAAACCAGUGUUCGAAUCCCUGCUCUGCCA